ACACCAUAGAUCAGCUUUGGCUGUGGGACUUGAAUUUGGCAAAUGGAAUGUGAGCAGAAUUGUUGCAGGCUGUGUCUGAGCAGAAACCUUCAAAGGAAUCACCCGGUUGUGUUGCUCCUUUCCUUCUUUUGCAAGCACACUCUUUCCCAGGGAGCAGCGUCUCCUUCAGCCUGGGUCUCAGAAUGAAGAAGAUCCAUAAAGAGCUGCAGCCAGUGUAAAGACACCGAUAUGCACUGGGAGUUUGUCUUCUGGCAUCAAAGCCAUGUGAAGAGACCCAAGCUGGCCUGCUGGAGGGCAGGAGACAUGGAGUGCUGUGGCCCCAUGGCCCUGAUGGGCAGCUCAGCAGCUGUCAGAUCAUGUGAGCAGGACCAUCUUCAAUCAUCCAGCCUGCAGCUGACCCUCCAACUGAUUAUAUAUGCAUAAGCAAACUCAGGCAAGGUUAACUGACUAGGCCUAGGCCAGAAGAACUGCUCUGCUGACCCAGAGAAUUGUGAUUUAAAUAAAUGACUGUUGAUUUAAA